rnacentral:rRNA from 1 species
GACUACAGGGGUAUCUAAUCCUGUUUGCUCCCCACGCUUUCGUGCAUGAGCGUCAGUGUUGACCCAGGGGGCUGCCUUCGCCAUCGGUGUUCCUCCACAUCUCUACGCAUUUCACUGCUACACGUGGAAUUCCACCCCCCUCUGCCACACUCGAGUUAUGCAGUCACAAGCGCAGUUCCCAGGUUAAGCCCGGGGAUUUCACACCUGUCUUACAUAACCGCCUGCGCACGCUUUACGCCCAGUAAUUCCGAUUAACGCUCGCACCCUACGUAUUACCGCGGCUGCUGGCACGUAGUUAGCCGGUGCUUCUUCUUCAGGUACCGUCAUUAGUAGCUAGUAUUAGUAGCCACCGUUUCGUUCCUGCUGAAAGAGCUUUACAACCCGAAGGCCUUCUUCACUCACGCGGAAUGGCUGGAUCAGGGUUGCCCCCAUUGUCCAAAAUUCCCCACUGCAGCCUCCCGUAGG